UGCGGCUCCUGACGAAUCGGUGUGCCCGGUCCACUGAGGGGCUCCACAUUCCGGCCUGCGGCCGGUCCCUCCUGCAUCCACGCUCGGUGGACGGCAGAUACCGAGGCAAAAUGGCUCGUGAGGAUGGCGACGUAGCAGCUCAAGGGAGUCGACUGGGAACAGAUGGACCCUUCCCUGCCGCUUCACACUGAAGGAUGGAUGGGAUGGCGCCAGCUGGUGUGGGCAGGGCCUGGUGCCCCUCUCCAGCCCCACGCUACCUCGGCCCCUUUUUCUCCCCCCUCCCUGACAUGGCUGUCUCCUUUGGGCCCAAACACUGCCUUAUUCAGGGACUGGGGCCAUGGGUUGCUGCUGCUGGCUUCUCCUGGAGGUGAUCGUGUGUGUGUGUGUGUGUGUGUCGGUGGGGCAGGGUGUGAGGAAGCUCUCUCUGAGUGGAGGAUGGUGCUGGAGCCCGGGGCAGGGGCUCUGCCUGUUCCUGACUGGGCAGUGGGGUCUGGCAAGGCCUGGGGCCCUCAAUUCUAUAGACAGGUCAAGCCACCCCCACAGUCCAGUCUGCAGAGCCUCCUGCCCCUGCCUCCAGACUCCUCCUCCUACCCAGGGGGAGCUUCAAGGGAGGGAGCUGAGGAGCAAGCAGAGUGAGGUCAGUAUGUGUGCACACACCCACAAAUCCCUUGGGGAGGAGCCAGGGGGGCGGGGAGCAGUAAAUGGACAAAAAUCUGAAGAAAACAUCCACAGGGCAGUGUUGCCCCCAAAGGAAAUGGCUUUGUCUGCCGCCUCUCUCCUUCCCUCCUCCUCCUCCUCCUCCCACAUUGUUGUCUUGAGCUGGUCCAGGCUCUGUGUGCCAUCUGUGUGUACCAGCUCUGUAUAUGUCAAAUAAAAUAUCCAACGUGUC